CCCUCUUUGGUCCUCCACCGUGGGCAGCACUGCUGGCCUGGUCCUUGGAGCUGUGCUCACGGGCGCUGUGAUGUGCAGGAAGAAAUUCUGGCGGACAAGGAGGAAGCUACACUCAGGCUGCAGUGUCAGACAGUGGCCUUUUGGGGACUGAGUGAUGAGGAUUUCUUCUGAUCUCCAUUUUGUGACUUCAAGAUUCCCCGGUUUAAAUCACCAUGAGAUACCACCUCACACCUUUGAGAAUGGCCCAUAACAAAAAGAUCAGAAACAACAGGUUCCUGAGGAUGUAGAGAAAGAGGGAACAGUCCUAUGUUGAGGUGGGGAUGCAUACUAGUCCUGUCCCCAUGGAAAGGGUAAGGAGUGUUCUCAAAAGAUCAAAAAUGGAUCUUCCCUGUCACCCAGCAAUUCACUACUUGGCAGCUACUUGAAGAAUAUAGAACACUAAUUUGAAGGGAAACUUGCAUACCUGUGAUUACUGCAGCACUGUUUUCAGUAGCCAAGCAAUGGAAACAAAUUACCCAAAACAGAGGAGUAGCUCAAGAAGAUGUGGUCUGUAUACACAGUGGAAUACUACUCUGCAGUCAAGACAAUAAACUCAUGCCAUUUGUGCAACAUGGAUGGAGCUGGAGGGGAUUAUACUAAGUGAGUAGUUGGAAGGAGAAAGACAAAUUCCAACAGUGUCACUUGUGUCAGAGACAUAGAGAAAUCAAGCAAAAGCUCAGAUAAGUCAAACUGCAAAUAUAACCCUUGAAAUCUGACUAUAGAUCUGUGCUACCAGAGGAGUAGCAGGAGGGAUGAGAAAAGUGGGGGGACACCUUGGACUAUGAUGGGGACCAUAGGUGCUUUGGUAGUGGGUGCUGAAUUAAAAACACCUGAAGGGCUGAUCCUACACUUCUGAAAUACAGUGAUGUAAACCAAUGCUACCUCAAUAACAUAUAUACUUGUAUUUAAAACAUCCCCUGGUUUUCUGGCUGCAAAGGGUGUCCUCAUGUGUCUGCGCUCCUAUUAGCAUAAUGUGAGGAGGUGGGGAGACUGGUCCAGCCCUGCCCACCAGGACCCUCCCCACACUGACCUGUGUUGUCCCCACAAGGUCCCGGGUGACCCAUGCACACAGGAAUACAUAGCAUUAGAGAUUAAUAUCCAGACUCAAAGUUUUGGCUUCCCUUUAGGACUCUUUCUGGAUUAUUCUUUCCAU